GAUCACGGACACAUCUAAAACCUGCAGGGACACUCAUGGACUGAGAUUGGGGACCCCUGGUGUAGAAGUUGGCCUUCAAUUUUAUUUCAACAGCACACGUGACUCAACAAAACUGGGUUCCUUCCUGAGGCCCCACACAACUGAAGAGUGGAUUUAAAUACUUUUAUUUGAUAGAUUAAGUGAAGAAAUGACAGGAAAGCGCAGGCAGAGAGAGAAGGGGGAAGACAUGCGACUUGAACCCGGGCCCUUUGCUGCAUGCCACAUGUGGGCACCCACUAAACACGCUUAGCUAAACCGGUGCCCCGAUGUGUUCAUGUUAUAACUCCCAAAUUGUAUAAAGUUCCCAUAAUCUAGUAAAAAUCUAUGGGUGGUGGAAGAUAAAACAUUGUACUAGUUCUGCUACUUGCCUUGUAAACAUAAACAAGGGUUGGUCUAAUGUCUCAAACAACUUUAUUCACAUGUAGCCCACUGAGAUUAAAAAUUUCCCCUUUCUGUAAAGUGCACAUGACCAGCUUGUGACAAGAGCAUGAGUCAACGUUGAUUUCAAUGCACUAAAUCAAAAGUUGAACAGCUGACAACCACUGUUGAUUUCACAUGAAGUCUUCUUUCAUGCUGUCCUGUUGAAAGUUUUAGAAUAUUUGGUGAAUUAGUUCAGUGCCGCGUUACCACCAGACACAUGGUUAUGCAUAUCGUUUUUAAUGGAUACCAGGAUAUCUAUAUUGAUAUGGGCUAGGUAAUGUGUUAGGCACAAAAGGAUGUUGUGUUGUUUGAUGGAAAUGAAAAUGAUCAAGUUACAGAAGGCUGAACCACAUCAGCGCAUGUUCCUAAUUAGACAACGGAUGGUGUCCUGGGGGAUCUCCGCCCAGAUCUGGAUCAGAGCACCACUAAGCUCAAGGACAGUCUGAGGUGCCUCGAAUGAAACAAAACAUAAUGUCCCAGAGAUGGUCUAUUGGAUUUAGGUCAGGCAAAUGUGGGGAGGGGCAGUCAAUGGUAUCAAUUCCUUCAUCCUGCAGGAACUGCCUGCACUCUCUCACCACAGGAGUUCGGGAAGAACCCAGGACCCACUGCACCAGUGUAGAGUCUGAGAGUGGGUCCAAGGGUUUCAUCCCGAUACAUAAUGGCAGGAGUGCUGUUGCUUAGCCUAUAGAGGUCUCCCUCCAUGGAUAUGUCUCCCCAGACAAUCAACUACAUCAAACUGGUCGUGCUGAAUGAUGUUACAGGCAAUAAAAUGUUCUCCAUGGUGUCUUCAGACUCUUUCACAGGUGCACAGGGUGACCCUUCCUUCGUCUGUGAAAAGCACAGGAUGCCAAUGGUGAACCUCCAGAUAAAGACUUCCCCCAUGAGCAUUCAUACUACAUUAAAGUAAUCUCUAAACAAUUAAAGUACAUAAGUAAUAU